rnacentral:rRNA from 1 species
AGAACGAACGCUGGCGGCGUGCUUAACACAUGCAAGUCCAACGUGAAAGGGGAGCAAUCCCCCGGUAGGGUGGCGAACGGGUGAGUAAUACAUGGGAAUCUGUCCUGGAGAUGGGGGAUAUCCUUCCGAAAGGAGGGGUACAACUACCGAAUAUUCGGUCGGGACCGAUGAAGGUUCGGGGAAAGGGAGGCCUCUGGAUACAAGCUUCGUCCUAGACGUGGAGCCCAUGGCCCAUCAGCUAGUUGGUAGGGUAAAGGCCUACCAAGGCUAACGACGGGU